rnacentral:rRNA from 1 species
AGUAACGCGUGGGUAACCUGCCUUAUACAGGGGGAUAACAGUCAGAAAUGGCUGCUAAUACCGCAUAAGCGCACAGAGCUGCAUGGCUCAGUGUGAAAACUCCGGUGGUAUAAGAUGGACCCGCGUUGGAUUAGCUGGUUGGUGGGGUAACGGCUCACCAAGGCGACGAUCCCUAGCUGGUCUGAGAGGAUGACCAGCCACACUGGAACUGAGACACGGUCCAGACUCCUACGGGAGGCAGCAUG